rnacentral:ribozyme from 1 species
GGGACGCUGGAAAUAGUGAUGUACGAGUGUACCGAGAUAAGGGCGACUCCGAAUGGGUACCAAUGGGCAACCCCAUCUUGAGCAAAUUGGAUAA